UACAUGGGGUGCAAACGUUGCUCGGAAUUAUUGGGCGUAAAGCGCGCGUAGGCGGUUACGUAAGUCGGAUGUGAAAGCCCUCGGCUUAACUGAGGAAGUGCACCCGAAACUGAGUAGCUAGAGUACGAAAGAGGGUCGCGGAAUUCCCGGUGUAGAGGUGAAAUUCGUAGAUAUCGGGAGGAACACCGGUGGCGAAGGCGGCGACCUGGGUCGAGACUGACGCUGAGGCGCGAAAGCGUGGGUAGCAAACAGG
rnacentral:rRNA from 1 species